rnacentral:rRNA from 1 species
UACGUAGGGUGCAAGCGUUAAUCGGAAUUACUGGGCGUAAAGCGUGCGCAGGCGGUAAUGUAAGACAGAUGUGAAAUCCCCGGGCUCAACCUGGGAACUGCAUUUGUGACUGCAUUGCUGGAGUGCGGCAGAGGGGGAUGGAAUUCCGCGUGUAGCAGUGAAAUGCGUAGAUAUGCGGAGGAGCACCGAUGGCGAAGGCAAUCCCCUGGGCCUGCACUGACGCUCAUGCACGAAAGCGUGGGGAGCAAACAGG